rnacentral:snRNA from 1 species
AUCACUUCUCAGCUUGUUGGCUAAGAUCAAGUGUAGUAUCUGUUUUUAUCAGUUUAAUAUCUGUAUAUGUCCUCUAUCCAAGGACAAUAUAUUAAAUGGAUUUUUGGAACUAGGAGUUGGAAUAGGAGCUUGCUCCUUCCACUCCACUCAUCGACCUGGUGUUGCAGUACCUCCAGGAACAGUGGACCCCCU